rnacentral:rRNA from 1 species
CCUACGGGAGGCAGCAGUGAGGAAUAUUGGUCAAUGGACGAGAGUCUGAACCAGCCAAGUAGCGUGAAGGAUGACUGCCCUAUGGGUUGUAAACUUCUUUUAUAUGGGAAUAAAAUGUUCCACGUGUGGGAUUUUGUAUGUACCAUAUGAAUAAGGAUCGGCUAACUCCGUGCCAGCAGCCGCGGUAAUACGGAGGAUCCGAGCGUUAUCCGGAGUUAUUGGGUUUAAAGGGAGCGUAGGUGGAUUGUUAAGUCAGUUGUGAAAGUUUGCGGCUCAACCGUAAAAUUGCAGUUGAAACUGGCAGUCUUGAGUACAGUGGAGGUGUGCGGAAUGCGUGGUGUAGCGGUGAAAUGCUUAGAUAUCACGAAGAACCCCGAUUGCGAAGGCAGCGCACUGGACUGCAACUGACACUGAGGCUCGAAAGUGUGGGUAUCAAACAGGAUUAGAUACCCUUGUAGUC